UUGAGCUAAAAUUGGAGAAACUGCACAGGUAGAAACAUUCUUAACAUAAUGAAUGGCUUAUGUAAACCAGGAAUAAUGUUGUCUGGGGUAUAUUUUGCUGUCUGCAAAAACCCAGAGACCUAACAGGUACCUGCAAUUCCAUGUCUUGAUGUUCUUUAGCCAAUUUUCCCCUGCCAUGAGGAGGUCAACAGUCAUGUACCUUCUGUGUUGGACACUGUCAAGCCUUGUUUACUGUCAUUAUAAGGUCCCAGGAGAAAGCUGGUGAGUUUUUGGCAGUUUGUGGCAGAGGAGAGAGCUACAGCUGCAGAGCAGUUGUUGUCAUAACACCUAUUCAUCAUUAUCCCUCCCAUCAUGAAUCACCUCCUGAUAACCAACCCCUCUUUGUUUACAUCCAUCACAUCUAGAAAACCUGUGCUCGCAUCCAGGAAUCACGUCUCUACCUGGGAAAACUCUGGCCGGUUUUGUGCCAGUAUUUCUUCCCCAAACCCAGAAAAUUCUCGAAGUCUCCCUGCUGAGAGAACAGGGACAGCUUUUCAAAUGUUUUGUUCACUUCCACUUAAAAUUCAACCAGAGUAUCUAAAUUAGGAAUGCUGCUACAUUCCAGCUCAGAAAGCUGCAGUGCUCUGUUACAAAGAGGGACUUCGUCUCCUCCUCGUCAUCCAGAAGCCCGUCUUUCUGGAUCGUCUGGUCCAUUUGCCUAGGUGGAAAGCUUGGUAGGGGGCCCGUGUUGUACCCUUCCUUCUGUGUCUGGUACAGUGUGGAGCACCAUGUCAGCGACGCACUAAUACACAAGAAUAAUCAGCUCAUCAAAUCAGCUUCAUUAGUUGGAGCUUGAGAGCACAGCUCCGCUGCCCAGCCCCGCAGACACGCAGCCUGCCUCACCGCUCCAUCUGCUGCAGCCGAGCAGGAGGGGUCUGCCCAUUCGGCUGUUCACGCAGAAGUGCAAAAGCCCGGGACACGGGGGUACUUCGAGCAUGUGCCAUGUUCCUGCCUGACACAUGUCACCAGGGGACUGCUGCUCCUCCCCUGUCUCUCGCUAAAGAAAAUGAUUUAUGCAGCACCAAGCAUAAGGGGGCCCCAUUCUCCACUGGCUGAGGCCUCUUCAUCUCCAGGGUACAGCGAUGAGUGCAGCAGGAGCAGGAAGGACAGCUGGAAAGCAAUGACACCAUUCCCCUGAUGGAUGCAAUCAUCUGUGGUGGUUAGGCUGCUUUGCGUGACAGGACCCUAAGUGAUGACCAAGAGAAGAGGAGAAGAUACAGAUGUAUGGGUGGAGUGGAGGAAGGAGGUCAGGCCGAGGGACUGCUGUGGUUUAAACACCCCCCAGCUGUGAAGAGGUCAUGGCUUCUCCUGCUCGUCUCACUGUUCCUUUCACAGAUAGUCUGGUGACUACAACCACCACCACCACAACCUUGCUAAGUAAAUAAGGUCCAUAACACCA